AUCUAUGGCCAUAUCACCCUGAAUGCACCUGAGCUCAGAAGCUAAGCAGGAUUGGGUCUGGUUAGUACUCAGAUGGGAGAAAUGUCCUCCAUAGUCUUAGACA
rnacentral:rRNA from 1 species